GCACACACACACACACACACACACACACAUUCUCUCUCUCUCUCUCGCUGUCUCUCUCUCUCUGUCUCUCCCUCACACACACACACACACUCUCUCUCUCUCUCUCUCUCUCUCUCUCUCUCUCUCUCUCUCUCUCUCUCUCCCUCACACACACACACACACACUCUCCCUCUCUCUCUCUCGGUCUCUCCCUCACACACACACACACACACACACACACACACACACAUUCUCUCUCGCUGUCUCUCGCUGUCUCUCUGUCUCUCCCUCACACACACACUCUCUCUCUCUCUCUCUCUCUCUCUCUCUCUCUCUCUCUCCCUCACACACACACACACACACACACACUCUCUCUCUCUCUGUCUCUCUCUCGGUCUCCCUCACACACACACACACACUCUCUCUCUCUCGGUCUCUCCCUCACACACACACACACACUCUCUCUCUCUCUCUCUCCCUCACACACACACUCUCUCUCUCUCUCUUUCUCUCUCCCUCACACACACACACACACACUCUCAAGUUCAAGUUCAAGUUGCUUUAUUGGCAUGACAUUUGAGUUACAGUAUUGCCAAAGCAUUCAGAUACAGAAUAAAAUAUAAUUACAAUAAAAUACAAUACAAUAAAAAUAACAACAACAGAUAAUAUUUCAAAUAUUAAUAAUAGUAAUUAUAUACAAUCAAGAAUAUCAAAUAAAACAGUUGAAUACAAUCAAUUACCCCUUUCGUAUGGUGUGUAUGGUGUAUAAAUAUUUAGCAGCUAGUGUCAUUGCCGUCUCAUUCUCUCCAAGUAUAUAGAGUAGUUUCUCUGAGUCAUUUAGAGACAAGAAUGAAGGAUUCAACGCUUCAAACUGUGGGAAGAAUGUUUCUCUUGUAGUGCUGUAUUUGGGACAGACCAGAAGGAAGUGUUUCUCAUCCUCGGUUUGAUUCAGCUCACAGUGUUUGCACCGGCGCUCUUCUCUCGGGAGCCAGGAUCUGUUAUGUCGACCAAUCUCUAUCUCCAAAUCAUGAUCACUGAGUCGAUAUUUGGAAAGGAUUUGUCUUUCUUUUAAUUGCUUGAGUGAUAAGUAGUUUGCCAGUUUUGUGGUUCUGUUUAGGGCCGAAUAACACUGGAGUUUGGUUUGGAGCUCAAAUUCAUUUUUUAAUUUUUCAUCAUAAUUAUACUUCAGAUUUUUGUCAAUUAGUUUCUGAAUGUUGGGGUUGUGAUUGGAGUCAGACUCAGUUUGGGUUUCCUUCAUCAGUUGAAGCACGAGUGUGUUUAGAGGAUGAGACACUGUGGGGGGGGAUUAAUUGGCGAGGAGGGCUUUAUAUUGAACAGAUCGAGUGUCAGAUUGAGUCAGGUGAUGAUAAAACUGAACAGCUCUUUUCUGUAUUUCUAUGUGUAAGGGGUAUAAGCCCAGCUCAGCCCUGCAGGCGAUAUUAGAAGUGCUUCUGUUUACCCUUAGGAUGUUUUUGGCAAAUUCCAAUUGUGUUCUUUCUAUUAAACUUUUGUCCCAGUUUUCAAAUUUUAAUAUUGGUCCCCAAAUUUCACUCCCGUACAGUAGGAUUGGUUUGAUGAUUGCGUGAUAUAAUUUAAUCCAUGUUCUAAUUGGUAGUUUUAGUUGGCCAAACCGUGCUUUAAUGGCAUAAAACUCUCUCUCUCUCUUCUUGUAAUGAUGUUUCUCUGCGGUUUCCAUGGCAACUAUAAAACAGAUUGAGACUUGUUCUCUCUUGUUGUACAGAAUUCAAGGACGUUUGCUCUGUUUGCUGAUGAAAGGCUAAAUUCUCUGAUUGACAGCUCACACUAGUAUUAUAGAAUGUUAUUAUUAUAGACAUGAGUAUUAUACAAAUCUUUGGGCACUUGUGAAGCUUUUCUCUGCUCUACUGGUCUGUUAUGUUAUCAAAUCCAGGGUUUCCCAUACAUUCAUUAAUUUGUGGCGGCCCGCCGCUGUCUGUCGCAUUUCCAUUACAGAUUCGCACAAAACUUGUAUUUUUUUUAAAUUAUCGAUAAACAACUAUUGCGAAAUGACGGCGUUUCCAUUAACUGAUGUUAUGCGACUAAAACUUAAUUUUUUCCCUCUCGCGAUCAGUCAUUCCAAAAAUCAUGGCAACGGAUAUAUAUAUAGGUUUAUAUAUAUCACAGCCACCAGACUCCACGUAUUAUUAUUAUCUCCAGGUUCAGGUUGGUGUGUGUUGGUUUUUGUCCACCUCAAUCUCCAGGUUUGUGUGUGUGUGUGUGUGUGUGUGUCAGAGUCUGUGUGUGUCCACCUCCAGGUCCAGUUUGGUGUGUGUGUGAGUCUUUUUGAAUGUUUGAGUGUUUGUGUGUGUGUGUGUGUGUCCAUCUCCAGGUCCAGGUUUGUGUGUGUGUGUGUGUGUGUGUGUGUGUGUCCAUCUCCAGGUCCAGGUUUGUGUGUGUGUGUGUGUGUGUGUGUGUCCAUCUCCAGGUCCAGGUUUGUGUGUGUGUGUGUGUGUGUGUGUGUGUG